rnacentral:piRNA from 1 species
UGGGGCAGACCUCUGUUGAGCAUGAAGGG